rnacentral:rRNA from 1 species
AAACCAGCACCUCAAGUGGUCAGGAUGAUUAUUGGGCCUAAAGCAUCCGUAGCCUGCUUUAUCAGUUUUCGGUUAAAUCCACACGCUCAACGUAUGGGCUGCCGGGAAUACUGUAAAGCUCGGGAGUGGGAGAGGUAGACGGUACUCGGGAGGAAGGGGUAAAAUCCUUUGAUCUCUCGAUGACCACCUGUGGCGAAGGCGGUCUACCAGAACACGUCCGACGGUGAGGGAUGAAAGCUGGGGGAGCAAACCGGAUUAGAUACCCGAGUAGUCC